rnacentral:rRNA from 1 species
UACGAAGGGGGCUAGCGUUGUUCGGAAUUACUGGGCGUAAAGCGCGUGUAGGCGGCUGUUCAAGUCAGGUGUGAAAGCCUUGAGCUCAACUCAAGAAAUGCACUUGAUACUGGAUGACUAGAGGACCGGAGAGGAUAGUGGAAUUCCCAGUGUAGUGGUGAAAUACGUAGAGAUUGGGAAGAACACCAGUGGCGAAGGCGGCUAUCUGGACGGUUUCUGACGCUAAGACGCGAAAGCGUGGGGAGCAAACAGG